UUAAGCAUUUCAAUAAGCGGAGGAAAAGAAACCAACAGGGAUUCCCCUAGUAACGGCGAGUGAAGCGGCAACAGCUCAAAUUUGAAAUCUGGCUCUUUUAGAGUCCGAGUUGUAAUUUGCAGAGGGCGCUUUGGCGUUGGCAGCGGUCCAAGUUCUUUGGAACAGGACGUCACAGAGGGUGAGAAUCCCGUACGUGGUCGCUAGCCUUCGCCGUGUAAAGCCCCUUCGACGAGUCGAGUUGUUUGGGAAUGCAGCUCUAAAUGGGAGGUAAAUUUCUUCUAAAGCUAAAUACUGCCCAGAGACCGAUAGCGCACAAGUAGAGUGAUCGAAAGAUGAAAAGCACUUUGGAAAGAGAGUCAAAUAGCACGUGAAAUUGUUGAAAGGGAAGCGCUUGCAGCCAGACUUGCCUGUAGUUGCUUAUCCGGACUUUUGUCCGGUGCACUCUUCUGCGGGCAGGCCAGCAUCAGUUUAGGCGGUUGGAUAAAGGUCUCUAUCACGUACCUCCCUUCGGGGUUGGCCUUAUAGGGGAGACGACAUGCAACCAGCCUGAACUGAGGUCCGCGCAUCUGCUAGGAUGCGGGCGUAAUGGCUGUAAGCGGCCCGUCUUGAAACACGGACCAAGGAGUCUAACAUCUAUGCGAGUGUUUGGGUGUCAAGCCCAGACGCGUAAUGAAAGUGAACGGAGGUGGGAACCUUUUAGGUGCACCAUCGACCGAUCCUGAUGUCUUCGGAUGGAUUUGAGUAAGAGCAUGGCUGUUGGGACCCGAAAGAUGGUGAACUAUGCUUGAAUAGGGUGAAGCCAGAGGAAACUCUGGUGGAGGCUCGCAGCGGUUCUGACGUGCAAAUCGAUCGUCAAAUUUGGGCAUAGGGGCG
rnacentral:rRNA from 1 species